rnacentral:rRNA from 1 species
UACGUAGGGGGCGAGCGUUGUCCGGAUUUAUUGGGCGUAAAGAGCGUGUAGGCGGCCAGGUAGGUCUGCUGUGAAAACUCGAGGCUCAACCUCGAGACGUCGGCGGAAACCAUCUGGCUAGAGUCCGGAAGAGGAGAGUGGAAUUCCUGGUGUAGCGGUGAAAUGCGCAGAUAUCAGGAGGAACACCCGUGGUCGGCGAAAGGCGGCCCCUGGUUCG